UACGUAGGGUGCAAGCGUUAUCCGGAAUUACUGGGCGUAAAGCGCACGCAGGCGGCGCGGUAAGCCUGAUGUGAAAUCUCCCGGCUUAACUGGGAGGGGUCAUUGGAAACUGCCGAGCUUGAGGCGAUGAGAGGGGGUGUAGAAUUCCCGGUGUAGUGGUGGAAUGCGUAGAUAUCGGGAGGAAUACCAGUGGCGAAGGCGGCAUCCUGGACUGGUCCUGACACCUCGAGGAGCAGAAAGCGGAUGGGGAGCAAACAGG
rnacentral:rRNA from 1 species